rnacentral:rRNA from 1 species
UCCGUAGGUGAACUGCGGAAGGAUCAUUAAUGAAUUCACUAUGUAGUGGUUGCUGGCCUCUAGGGGGGGGUGUGCGCUUCUUUAGUGUUUUUUUUACCCCCCCUGGUAAUUUUUGAAAAGAUGGGGGAAGGUGUUCUUCAAGGUCGUCAGGACUUGGUUUGGCGGGGGAUUUAACCGUCUGGGGUGGGACAACGCCGGUCUAUUUACUUAACACACCCCAAAUGUAUGUCUACGAAUGUCAUUUAAUGGGCCUUGUGCCUAUAAACCAUAAUACAACUUUCAACAACGGAUCUCUUGGCUCUCGCAUCGAUGAAGAACGCAGCGAAAUGCGAUAAGUAAUGUGAAUUGCAGAAUUCAGUGAAUCAUCGAAUCUUUGAACGCACCUUGCGCCCCUUGGUAUUCCGAGGGGCAUGCCUGUUUGAGUGUCAUUAAAUUCUCAAACUCACAUUUAUUUGUGAUGUUUGGAUUGUUGGGGGUUGCUGGCUGUAACAAGUCGGCUCCUCUUAAAUGCAUUAGCAGGACUUCUCAUUGCCUCUGCGCAUGAUGUGAUAAUUAUCACUCAUCAAUAGCACGCAUGAAUAGAGUCCAGCUCUCUAAUCGUCCGCAAGGACAAUUUGACAAUUUGACCUCAAAUCAGGUAGGACUACCCGCUGAACUUAAGCAUAUCAAUAAGCGGAGGA